GUUGACCUUAUUGCCGUCUGCUUUCAGUUAUACAAUUAACACACAAAAUGUACUGUUUGUAAAAGUAAAGACUACAGUUGCAUCCAGUCUACGCCCCGUUGACUCAGAAGAAUUACGCUCUACACAUCGUUGAAGAAUUGCAUCCAGUCUACACUUUGUUGGUUGGGUGUAUCCUGUCCUGGGAUUUUUUGUCCAACAACUUACUCUUUUUUUUAUACGACGACGACUACUACUACUACUACUACUACUCUUGUAUCAAUGUAUUUUUUUAGUACAUAGGCUCUGUCUCCUCCUGUUUGUCAUUUGUAUUGUUAUAUGUGACUAAAUAACGACUGCAAGGAAAACUUUGAAGUGACUUUUCUACUGAAACCUGUUCCUGGACUUUUCGCCAACUGGGAAGGUGCGCCCCGGGAGGCCUGAGACUUUUCGCCUUUUCAGGGAAAUGUGCGCCCUGUGAGGCCCCAGACUUUUCGCCUUUUCAGGGAAAUGUGCGCCCUGUGAGGCCCCAGACUUAAGAUUCGUUUAGAAGUGAACGGAGGUUUGAACGCUUGAGAAUUGAACUGAGAAUUGAGCUGGGAAUUGAACUGAGAAUUGAUCUGAGAAUUAAGUGAGAAUUGAGAGAACUUGCUGAUAGAGGUAAGUGAUCACCCUCUGAAGCCUGAAGAAGAACUUGCUGAAAGUUGAAAGGAAGAAGGUUGUAAGUGUAUUGAUUUAAGCAAAGGAGCAAGUAUUUAGUAUAAGUUAAGUAUCAUAGUAUAAGUCUAUUAUAUUUGUAAAUACUUGAAGUGUGAAGUUAUUUCACCAGAUUGUAAAUACUUGUAAUACUUAUUCACAAAAAAGUGUUUAAAUAUAAAUUCCAUAAACUACCUGUUCAGGAUACAUUUGUUUGUUUUCUUGUAGUAUUAUUCUUUGACAAAAACAUUUUAACUUGUCAAUUGUGUACUAAUUAAACCUAUUUUCAUAAACACUUAAUAAAGACCAUUGAUUGUUUUUUAUAAUAUAUAUUACAAAAGCAAAUAAUAUAUUGUAUUUACUGUGUUAUGUGUGUGUGUGUGAAUAAAAAACUUGUUAAAAACAAAUUGUCUAAGCAUCUGAACAUCAACGCAUCUGAACAUGCCAAGAAAGUUGAAGAGAUCACAGUCUGCUAAGGUAAGGUGGAGAAAGCUGGAUUUGUCUGGAGACGUCAGUAGCAGCGUCAGCGAGAGCAGUGUGUGCCAUGAUGAUGCAGGUAAACAGAGCAUGUGUGAUGACAUCGCUGACAAAAGAAAUCACAGUCAAGCUGAAUUGUUGCCACAGGUGUCACAUGGCCAUGUGAAGAGAGCAGGUCCAUCUCAUGGUGACUAUCUAGGUGAGUCAGGUCAGGAUCCCAUAUGUGUGCUUGCAUCACACAGUCAAGCUUUAUUAGUGGGAGAGCUGAACAGCUCUCACACUAUUGUUAUCUUCGGUCUUUAUUAGUGGGAGAGCUAAACAGCUCUCACACUAUUGUUAUCUUCGGUCUUUAUUAGUGGGAGAGCUGAACAGCUCUCACACUAUUGUUAUCUUCGGUCUUUAUUAUUAUUAUUAGUGGGAGAGCUGAACAGCUCUCACACUAUUGAGAUCUUCGCUCUUUAUUAGUGGGAGAGCUGAACAGCUCUCACACUAUUGAGAUCUUCGCUCUUUAUUAUUAGUGGGAGAGCGGAACAGCUCUCACACUAUUGUUAUCUUCGGUCUUUAUUAUUAGUGGGAGAGCUGAACAGCUCUCACACUAUUGUUAUCUUCGGUCUUUAUUAGUGGGAGAGCUGAACAGCUCUCACACUAUUGUUAUCUUCGGUCUUUAUUAGUGGGAGAGCUGAACAGCUCUCACACUAUUGUUAUCUUCGGUCUUUAUUAUUAUUUUUCUUCUACUUAUUCCGCCCUUUUUUUGAUUGCUAUCUACUUUUUAACGCUUCAUCGUAGAAUCGUCGUUUAACUUUCUAAACGUGUGUCAUCUUUAGGAGAUGUGGGCUAUUACUUUUUAUGUUUUCAGCUUUUCAACUUUUAAUGUUAUUCAACUUUUUUCAUCGUUUUUUUAUAAUGGUCGUCUAUGGGAAUCAUCGUUCAACUUUUUGUCAACUUCCCUCUUUUCAUCAGCGUCUAUCAUCGUCAUACUUUGGCGUAGAAACGUCAUUUCAACUUCAAAAGCGUCCAUCAUCGCUCAACUUUCUCCUCGUAAAUCAGCGUUGUCGUAUCUUCUAUACUUUUUGACUCGUGAACGUUUAAAUAUGGUGUGGUUUUUGUUAAAUUUUCAGCUUUUCCAUUAGUGUGUAUUGGGUCAGUUAGAGUGCGUGAUGU